rnacentral:tRNA from 1 species
GAGGUUAUGGCUCAGCGGUAGAGUGCUCACUGUGCAUGUGGAAGGCACUGGGUUCGAGCCUCAUCACCACA